rnacentral:siRNA from 1 species
GUGUCGGCUGCUUUGUUGAGC